rnacentral:lncRNA from 1 species
AUUCACAUUCUGAAACCUCUCCUGUUCCAUAGAGACAGAGUUCAGCUCAGCCCUCUGCAGUUGGUGUUCAACAGCAAACAAGAAUGCUCCAAAGUUUAGGAGAAGAUGGAAGAAUUGGGGAGUAGGAGACAGCAGCAGAGACAUCCUGGAAAGGUUGGAAAGGACUGGCUAGAGAAUUGCAAUCAUCAUGGAUGACUGAGGUGGACAUGCCUAAAGUUAUGGAGAAAAAUACUUAGAAGAACUUUUAGAGAAGUAAAUAACAGCACAUGCUCCUGCCUACAGAAAGAGAAUAAUUCAGAAAGCAAUGUAGUCUACAAUUUACCAAGAAGAAUUGGCAGAGCAAAGACAGAAGCCUCACCAAAAUGAUGACAUUAUUCACAUUAACACAUAAUGGCUCUGUGUGUUAUUAUCAGACAACCUAUCUCUACUGAAAGUGAUGCUCAUUGAUAAAAACUAAAUUAGUAAGCCAGCAUACUAGUUUGUGUUUCAAGCAAGCUUUAUAAAACUUUUAUUUGGUCAAAGCUAGUAUAAAUGUUCUUAUCCAAGUCAAAGAAUUUUGGAAUUACAAAUAAAAAUCCCUACCUUAAGUAAAAAUGUUUAAUUGAAUUAGUUUUAUUUAAAUAUUUAUUGCUAGCAAUUUUAUAGGAAUGAUUCUCAGGCAUGUACAAUUGCAUUAAAUCACCAUACCAAAGUUAGUUUUCUGUCAUAUUUAAA